CUGACUGACUGGGGAAAUACCUGGCAAAGUUCCCAAAUAAACAAAUAAGAGCGAAAAGGAGAAGGAGGUGGAGGGCAGAGCGCAGACAGAGUACAGGGGUAUUUUCUGGUCCAGAUAACAGUCCCGUAAUAGUCGGCGGGAACAAGGCAUUGUACUUCCAGCACAGUUUGCCCCCAGAGUAAGAGUGAGGUCAGCAAGUCAGAGCAGAUUUUUUAAGAAAAGUUCAGUCUUUUGUGAUAUGAAAGUUGACCAGAACUUAAAAUCCCGGUUUCUUUAAACAGUGUCUUUGUUUUUUUGUUUUAUUAUGAAGAGGAACUGAGAGGAACACAAUUACUGCCAUAGGAGGACAUCGGCUGCUGUAGACGAGGAACAGAUAAAGAUGGGGCCCUGGACACAUACUGAAGACGGAGAAGCACGUAGCUGCCAGAUGCAACUUUGGAUAAAUAGCACAUGUACCUGCAUGUUCUCGUUUGCAUGACUGUGGGUGUUGUAGGUGUUUCUAGGAACAGAUCUUUGAAUCCAACUGAAGUUGAGUUGAAUUGAAUAAAAUAGCCUCAACCAAAGAGUGCAAAAAAAAAAAGAAGGAAAAAAUGGAGUAAAAAAAGAAAAGGAGAGAUGAAGAAAAAAGACCUAUAAAAUGGCAGCUGAGCUAAAGGAGAAGAAAAGGUGGGCUUUGGAAAUGGCUGAUGCAGGGCGGUCUCUACAGGCAAUGAGGACUCUUUGUCAGGAGCAGGAAAUGAGGUUUCUGUUGUGAUUAAAAGGAAGGUUUCUAUGGCAAUGCAGAGAGCCGUGUGCACAGAGAAUUUCUUGGCAGCGGAGGGGGCUAAGUGAGAGUCGAAUGUCAAAGAAAGCAGCCUUCCUCCAUCUCAUCUCCCACCACCCCUCUGCUUUGCCACAGCACCACUUUUUAUCUCUCAUAAUCUGUUUUCAUAGACACAGUUAAGACUGCACCAGGGGGAUUAUCUUGAGCAAACCGAGCCACUGGUUGAUCAGUCAUUUAUGUUUACGGAGUAGCAGUUUCACUUCACCAAAUCGCUACUGUCAAAUUAAAUAAGGAAAGAAAGGUUUAGCUGAGAGGCUAAUUAAAGCAAACAAAGAAAACAAACCCCACAAAACUGAAGAUGAUUAGCAUAAUGACCUGAUUGUGUCUUUUCUUGUUUGUCCAGACAGGUACAGUUUUCUCCACUUACCCCCCUUUGCCUUGUUCAGCCCACGAAGUAAAAAAAAAAAAAAAAAGCACAGUGGCAUCAGUGUGACCUUUAAAAUCUAAAUAUAGUAAAAAUCUUUGUUUAUUGUUUCACUGAGUUCAAAUAUAUUUCUUUAAAUAAAUCCCACAUCCUGAUUUUCUAUUUUCUCCGCUGGAGGAAGUUGCUCUCUGCAGUACGUGCCAUAUUUGCCCCGAACACAGAUUUGAUGCAGGAUGUUUGGAUAAGGAGACAUUUCAAACUGGGGAUCAAAGAGAAUUUUUAAAAUGCUGUUGAUAUUACCGACUCACGUGAAAAUAAUAUGUUAAUGUACCCGGUCUCCCUUCACUUCCAAACAGACCGAGUGGAAAAAGGGACUGAUGUUAAAUGGUUGAUAUGUGCGACAACAGAAAAAAAGCUAAAGGGGGAAGUCAGAGCUCAGAGUUUAUUUGAUGCUCUUCUGACUAAUGAUAUCUAUCUAAUUUGCACCCCCCCCCCCCCCCUUCCCCUGGUUAACAAAAACAUCCAGUUACCUGCAUAUUCUUCUCAAUGAUCAUCAUUUGUAAAAUAAACAAAAUAAUAUCUGAAAAUAAACAUUGUUAUUCUGUUCAAAAG
ensembl:lncRNA